rnacentral:misc_RNA from 1 species
UAGAAUUUAAUUCCCACUUUAAAUAGCCGAGUAGGAUUAUCUGGAUAAGGAUUAGUUAAGGAAAAUAUUGGGCGCACAAUCAAGAAACUUACCAUAACUAUUUAAAUAAGGUUAAAUAGCUGUGUAUGUACAUCCAAACAAAAGUACUUACUAUCAAGUGAUCGUUUGUUAUUACAGAGAGAUAUUACAUACCUGUAUCAAGUGGGUUUAAGAUUGUAAUGAGAGAAACAUUUGUUUUGAAAAGAGAUGGAUUUGUUACAAGUGUUUUGGAGAUACAGCUAAAUUAGAGAUUAAUUCUGCCUGCCCACGGAUGCACAAAUAAAGAUGGCCCAUCUUGAGAAGUUAUUUGUUCCGGAGGGGCUUCCGGCUAACCCAUACCAUUCCCUAGACAGUCGAGUGAUGUACAAAAGUGAAACUGCUACCGCUGAGAUGAGAGAAGUGAAAGAAGUUCAGCCAAUGAAGAAAGAUUUCCAUCCAAUUACAACUGAGAUUCAUGUCACAGAACUACGACCAAUCAAACUUGACCCAUUAAAGAAGCAAGAAAUUGCACAAGCCCCAAAGGGUAAUACGUGGGAGAGGCGUUUAAUGUCUGAAGGUACUGCUAUAGAAAAUGGCCAUCGUGAAACAUUUAGAGAAGCCAGCAUGGAAAGUAGACGAUCACACUCGGCAUCAAGUAGAAAAAUAGAAACAAGGGAGGUAAACAGCAGUAAUCCAGAGAUGAGAUCUAACAUGAUCCGUACAGUGACAAGCAGAACUGGGACGUACUCCGGGUCAUCACCAGGCUCAUCACCCUCAGGGACAUUGUCACCUCGAGAUAAAGUGGAGUUCAGAAGAAGAGAUUUAAGUCCAAGCUACCAGAAGGAACAGACAGUGGGCUUGAUAGAUGGGAAAUGUACAUGUUGUCCCUAUGGUUACCAUGUUGACGUUGACUUCAUGAGCUACUGCGACACUCUCUCUAACCAGUCUUACCUGAAACAGCUGAAACAUAUACAAAGGGAAAAACGGAAACUAAGAAAGUCCAUGGAAGUUUACCUUCAGGAUCAGGAACAAACUGAGGGGCACUCGACAAUGGUAAAUCCAAUGGAAUCACGUGCCUACUACCAAGAAUCAACAACAAAUAGACUGUUGGAUGAUAUUGAUAACUCUGUAGGUCAAACGCUAACUUCUAUAGAGUCCAUGAUGGAGUCAUCGACAGGGUCGCAGAUGUACAGCGAUAGCGGCACUGCUACCAUCCAGCAGAGAGAAAAACCAAAGAAAUUUAAUACAUUCCCAAAGAAAACAGGCAGGCAGGCAGCUCAAGAGCUUCAAACAUACAAUGAAACGUUUACAGCUACGUUCAAUAAUUCUGAACGUCGCGAUUCCAAUAGUUCUCUCUCUUCAAUUUCGACUGUAGAGCUGGAAAGGAUUUAUCCUCAUAGUAACCAGCAAGGUUUCUCGACAACAGAAACAUCAACAACAAGGUCAUCAAAUAUUACAUCUCAGCACUUAGCAGAGACAAUGGCUGUUCAUAUGCCACAGGAGGGCGGGGCUGCCUCUGCCUCAAACAUGACCAAUAUCAGUAAAGAUUCUUUGAAUGCAAUAAGGGAAGCAAUGUCAGUUAGUCUUCAGAGAAUGAAAGAACUAGAAGAACAAAAUAAAGCAAUACCAGUGUUACAGGUUCGAAUCUCUGUUCUAAAAGAAGAAAAACGAUUAUUAGGGUUGCAAAUGCAAGCUCAGAAACAUGUGAACACAGUCAGCAGGGGUGUUAAUACUGAUGCUCCACCUCCGCCCCGAUCGCCCAUGUCACCGCCUCCACUUGCCCCGAAACCUAAAGUAAGAAUGGCAGCUGUUGGAGACCAUGAUGUAAAUGAAUCCUAUCUUCUACAACCGGAACUAGAGUCCACGCAUGUUUACGAAAAAGAAACUUUAAUCAUUGAUCGAGCUCAGCAGCAGAGUUCACUGUUCAACCAAGAUGUGUCAAAACCAUUAACACGAACUGUAGGUGUUGGAGAAGGGAAUGUGUUUGAUGAUAGCAUGCACAUUCAUGAAAAAGAACUAAGAACUGUGAUAAUUGGGCAAAGUGAGAGGACAGGAAAAAGGAAUGUUGGUAUUGAGUGUAGACCUUCUACUCGCGAUGUCGGUAUUUCAUAUAAUUUUGAUACAGUUGAAAAACCAACUACACGCAGUGUCGGAAUAACCACUGAAACUACAGCUCUUGUGACAAAUGUCAGUUUUAGAAGUGAGGAGUUUACCUCUGCGUUACGAAAUGCGUUAGCGAAAAAUGUUCGUAGUGUAUCGGUGCAAGUGGACAAUAGACAAGAAUCUAGACAUGUUGGUAUUCAGUCUACAGUUUCUUCUUGGAAUUUAAGAUCCAUUGGUGUAGGUGACGCUAGUAUUGAUGUUGAGGUAAGGAACCCUGUGGCUAAACGAUCUGUUAGCGUAGAUGCUUUCCCAGAUAGAAUGAACCGCUCUGUCAAUACGGACUAUGGAUGGCGACUUGACGCUUUUACUAACACCGUUCCUCAGUUUACUGAAAGUGAAACAACACAGACUGAAGAAGUUAGAAAAUAUAACAGUACCACAAUGACUGAGAGAAAUGUUCAGUACAAUGUUACAUGCCAGACAGAUAUGAAAAUUUUUGCAGCAACAGAUCAAGUUAAAAACUCUGGUACAAAUACUGAGAAAGUUCUUACAUACAAUACAGGAGUGAACACAAUCUUAAAACCAUCAAUGGAACGAGGCAUUAAUACAAUACAUCAGCGAGAUACUAGGAACUAUGGUGUUAAUACUGUGGGGCCGGACAUACGAAACAUUGGGACAGGAGAUGGAAUAAUCGAAGAGGAAAACCCAGAGGAAGAAUAUUUGUUUGAAGAAGAAGGAGUUGAAACGAAAACAGUUUAUUUCACAACAAUGCAGGAUCAGGAGAAAACAAAAUCAGAUAAGGGUUAUGAAAUAAAACGCGAAUAUUCUGCUCCCACACACUCUAGUAGUAGUGUUGAAUCAAGAAGUGCUAUACAGUCGAGCCAGGCACACCAAAUGCAAAGACAAGAUUCGUCCAGUUCAAAAUCCGAGGAUGAACAGAAUACUGAAAUUCUUGAAGAGAAAGUGUGGAGAACAUCUGGGGAUGGCCAGUUCACUGUAACUACUGUAACAACUACACGUACAUUUGGUGGGGCUGAUGGUGACGGGACUGUUCAGACUGAAACCAAAACUGUUACUGGUGGUCCUGAGGUUCUUGGCUCUGAUGCAGCUAUGAUACAAAAGGAAGUAGAACAAGGCAGAACUAGUUCCACGGUGACUGUCCGAGGUGGAUCUGUCAGUGACAGUACACAGGCCUAUGAUUCUAGUUAUAUGGGGUCACUUUCUGCUGGUGAUUCUCAGACAAGACAUUCUUAUGAAUCUAGUUCUAUGUCAGGGCAAGGAAGCUCAGCCAUUGAACGUGUUUUAGGAUCAGAUGUAGCGGAAAAAGUUAAAAGGGAACGAGAGCUUCUUGAUAAUGGAGGACUGUCAUCCUCUCAGAUUACUUCAAGAUAUUCGUCUUCAUCAAGUAGUGGUGGUCCUGCUGUGAUUACCUCAAGAUAUUCAUCAAGCAGUAGUAGUCCCUCGUCAGCAGGUCUUUCUCUAGGAGCAGAACUAGACCAAUUGGCAGGUUCUCAGGAUAGUGGUUUGUCAUCUUCUCAGUCUUCGAGUACGUCAUCUGUUUCGCGGCACACUAAAAUCAUACGAGAAGGUGAUUCCUCCCCCACUGUCACUGUUAGAGAAGAAUUUUCCACUUCUCAAGAUGGCUCUCUACCAAGUUGUACUUCAGAAACUAUGACUGGAUCUUGGAUGUCUGAUACUGGUAGUAUGUCAGGAAGUUUGAAGUCCAUUAUGAAGAAGAGCUCCACUGACACUGGAAAUCAACGUAGAGGAAUAACAUUUGCUGACUCAGUUGUUGGAGGUGAAACUGAUGAUGAAGAAGAGGAGGAAGUUGACUCUUCAAAUGAGGAGGAGGAAAAUGGUGGGGUGGAGAGUGGUUCAAGGGGGACAACUUCUGACAGUGAUAGUAGUUAUGAUGAGGGUUGCUAUGACAGCAGGGAGGGCAGCAUUGUAUAUAAGUGUAAAGAUGAUGAAGCAAUUGCUAAUGGUGUCCCGGGAGCUCAAAUGUUUGACCAGAAUAUUAGAGAAACAUCAAGACCAAGAAGAUUUGAACUGGAUCCUGCUAUGAAAGAGGCUUGUCAGACGCUUGCCACAUAUUUGGAAGAUUCAACACUUGUUCAGACUAAACAACUGUAUAAAAAGUUAAAGAAGAAUAACAGCCUAGACAUUAUACAGAAGGAGUGGUUUAAGGUCUCCUCGUCGAAGCUAGCCGACGCCCACCAGAAUGAAGACUAUCUGUCUUGCUUCAACGAAAUCUCCAAACGACUCCUGGAGUAUAUAGUGAACAUGCAAGAUUCAAAUGGAAAUACAGCUAUCCACUAUGCAGUUUCUAACUGUAACUUUGAUAUUGUGAGCUUACUGCUGGACACCGGUGUUUGUGACCUUAACAAGAUGAACAAGGCUGGGUACACAGCGGUUAUCAUGGCAACGCUAGCUAGUGUACAGACACAGAGACAGGAGGAAGUGGUUCAGAGACUCUUCUCGAUGGGAAAUGUUAACACGAAAGCUUCCAAGGAUGGUCAGACAGCACUGAUGUUUGCAGUACGACAGGGACGUACUGAGAUGGUGAAAAUGUUACUGGAUACCGGUGCUGAUACAAACAUCCAGGAUGAUGAAGGCUCCACGGCAUUGAUGUGUGCGGCGGAACAUGGUCACACGGAGAUCGUCAAAAUGCUGCUCAACACACCUGGUUGUGAUGCAUCUAUUUCAGAUAAUGACGGCAGCACUGCCCUUUCUAUAGCAAUGGAUGCAGGACACAAGGAUGCUGGAGUUCUCCUCUAUGCCCAUGUCAAUUUUGGCCCAGGACAUUCGCCUCACUCUACAAUGUUUUGAAACAGACACAAAACAGGCCCCAGGUCGGAAGUCAAGGAAAACUUCAGGAUCCUCUCCUCUAGCAAGUCAAACACCGUGAGCCAUGUACCGUAUUUCACCUACGUGUAAAGUCAGAACACCUAAAUGUGAAGCCAGUAAUCUACCUGAGAAUCAUCAUCUUUUAGAACGACAGCUAGUCAAGAAGAUCUGGAUCUGUAUCAAACAACCUUCAUUUAUUAAAGAAAACUAUAGUAUAAUAGAUAUAUAGAAAGAAUAAUUUCGUAUUUGGUAGAAAUUUUACAGAAAAAUAAAGAUCUUUUAUUCUUACUGUUUUGAACCAGUAGUUAACAUAGUUGUCAAAAAUCAUGAUUGCAAGAAAAUAUUUAGACUUACGACAUUUUUGUAGAGGUUGUCAGUAACAUCUGUUAAUCUUAGAUAUAUUCUGGUACUUACACAGCUAAGAUGGUUGUCGUGAAUACACUGUAUUGUGGUAAAAUAUUUUCCAUACUUUUCUAAGCUAAACUCAGCUUUAAUCAUUCCAGUUUCGAUAACUAUUCUUGAAUGAAUCUUCGGUAACAGUUUUUUUUAAAUUAUGUUGUGCAACUUUAAUAUUGAAUAUUGUGUCACACAGUACAAGAUAUGGCUUUAUGCAGACAUCAGUUAUCGUGCUUACAUUUACAGUAAUUCACUUUAGGGCUGUUUUUUGUACAACACAUAUUGAACAAUUUUAUAAAUGUCUUUUUUUGUAACUUUGUUAUAAUUUUUUUGUUGUGCCUUUGAAAAUUGAACUUAACAGAUUUUUUUAUACUCUAAAUACAUUCCACAUGAUUUUAUGAUUCCAUUGUUAAAUUUGUUUGUUGAAAAGUUACAUUUUAAAUUUUUUAGAGAAAAAUAAAAUUGAUGUGUUACUUUAGAGACGAGAAUUUUCAUUGAUUUAUGAAUAGAUCCCUUCAGUGAAGUUGUGUAUAUGAAUUUUACAAUGCCUUUGAUCACAUUUAUAGUAGAGUUUAGAAAAACUUAAUUUUUUGUUUAACACAUUUCAGGAGUUUUCCUUUCUUGCCAGAAUAUGAGUGCAGCUUUACAGUGGAAUCUUAAUUGUUAACUGUUCAUUACAUUUUACUUUGAAUAAUAAGAUAAAACUGUACAUGUAUUUUGAUAGAACUGUGACAGCUGUCUUUCAUGUAACACUCACGUUACAUUGUUACCCUACUAUACACUAAACCUCUCUAUUACUGUUAUGUGUAACUGUAGAGUUCUCAUAUGUUCAUUAUAUAUAGUAAAAAUUGAUAUAUCCACAGUAGUUUAACCUGAAUAUUGUAUAUCAUAUACAUAGAAUACCUUUAUAACACUAUAUUAUGAUACAUCUUCGAUCAUAUCAUAUUCUCAUGUGUUCACAUUUGAAGUUUUAUCACCAUGGUUACAGUAAAUGAGUAACUUUAAUCAGAGGCAUGGCAUUAUUGUGUCUGAAAUUUCCUGGAGUGAGUAAAUUUUAAGGUACAGUGGACUUAAAGGCAGUUUCUGAAGUCAUCUUUUCUCAAAAAUCAUUUGCCUGUAUGGUGUAAUUAAAGGUAUCUUUUUCUAGAAAUGGAUCCCUGAUACAUUAGAUUCCCUACUGUUUUACGUGAUUAAAUGAAUAAAUGAAACUGUAGUUAUUUAAUAGAACAAAGUCUUGCUUCAGAAAACUACCCGAAACUAUAUAGCUGUGAAUUGAUUUGAAUUUACAUGAAGGAUCUGACCAUCCGACCUCGGUAUGUAAUUUAGUUGGUUAAUUAUCAAAUAAAAAAAAUAAUAAUAAAAACAUGGUCCAUUUAUUUAUUAUGUAAUAACACUUGUAAAGAUCUAUUUGGAAGAAUAAGGGAAAAUAUUCAUGCAUGUUUUUCUAAGCAAGAAAUAAUGAUUUUAUCACAUUUAUCAAUAAAACAGGAAGAAAUAAAGGAAAGAAAUCAAAGGAGUUUUAAUUUUGUGGCUGCUGUUUGACCUGAAUCUGCCAUUAAUGUUGUCUUCCUGCUUUUAUCUUUCUGCCAGUUGUUUGUAUCUUGAAGGUUAUAGACAUACAUGUUACUUUUAUACUGUAAUCCUGUAAAGCUCCUGCAAGAUUUGCACCAAAUAUACCAAAAGAUAUUAUUUAUUUGCUAUUUAUUUUAUUGUAUAUACAAAUAUAAGAGGUCCAUUUUAUAUAGGAAUGAAAAAUUGUACAUAUACUGCUGAUUCUGUUUGUUGUUACUUUUGUCUUUGGAAAGAAACUGUCUUAAACUGUUGCAAAACAUGCAAAUGAAAUUUGAAAAUGAAAUAGAAAUUAAAUGUUCCAAAGUUGUAGUUUUUAAAGUCCCAUAUUUGCUAGUUUUCAAUUUUAUGUUUUAUUGUAGAAUCAUAAAAUGCUGUGUGCAGUAGACAGUAGUUGAGAAAUUAGGUUGCUGCAGUAUACAUAUGUUGUAUGACCAUAGAUGCAGAUUUAGUAGUGCCUUUAUGCAAAAACAGUUGAUUACUGAAGCAAGUCUUAUAUUUUACAGAGAUAUCUCUUAUACAGUGUGAAAAUCUAGCAAUAAGCACAAUUAUAGAUCUAUAAUAACAUGUAGAACAAGUUUUGGUCAGCUUGAAUGGCCAUUUUCGUGGUGCUGAUUUGUUCUUUUAGUUGUGUAUAUACUUUGUUUUAAAUGUACAUGUACAUUGUUGUAUUUUAUAUCCCAUUAGCAACAUAUAUCCAUGUCAUAUUUUACUAUUUUUAAAAUGUAUGAAUGAGCCUACCUCUGACAAUAAGGCUGUUGUUUGUUUGUUUCUUUCUUUCUUUUGGUAAGGACAUCUUUUUCAUUAGCUGGCUAAGAUAUUCUAAAAUGUGGUUUUUUCUCUGUUGGAUAAUUUUAUACAUGUUAAUAUAAGUUAAUCUAUUUUGAUAGUCAAAAAUUGAAUAAAUGGAAAAUCUUUGAUAUAACAACUUAUGUAAUCUUUGCAUGAAUGCUUCCAGAUAAUGGAAAGUUUAUUUGAAACACAACUUUCUAGUUCAUCAAUAUGUCAGAUAAACUUUAACUGUCAUGACAUGCUCCUUUUUGUGAAAAAAUAAGCCAGACAUCAUUUCAUAAUAGUAUAACGCACAUUUUUGCUUAAAGUUACAUUUUACAGUUGUAUGGUAUUAUAAAAGCAAAUGCUUUAUGUAUGGCUAUAAUCAGCAGAACUUGGUUACCAGGCUUUCCUCUUUACGAAUAAUAAAUCAGUAUUGAAUUACUAGCUGGUAAACUUUAAUAACCUGCUUUUCAUAAAAGUUCACAUCUGUUUAGAACACAUAGAAAGGUUAGUGAAAUCAUUUCAAAAGUUGUGAUACAUCUCUACAUUUUUAUUUUCCUGAAAGUGCCUUUGGCUUAUGCAUAUGCAUUGCCAAGUUCUAUUUUUCAAAUGUGAAGCUUGUGAUGCUGGUCACAAUGUUAAGCUCUUAACAGCAGUACACAGAAAGUCAUAUAUUUAGUUGUGCACCAUCAAAUACAAGGUUUUUCUUCUAAUUUUUUCACCGCUAUAUUGAAUGUUGCUGGCAUGUAAUGUGUCCACAUAUUUUACCAUUGAUUAUGUAUUGUUACAAUAAACAAUGUGAACCUUA